GGGUUGUGAGGUUAAGCGACUAAGCGUACACGGUGGAUGCCCUGGCAGUCAGAGGCGAUGAAGGACGUGCUAAUCUGCGAUAAGCGUCGGUAAGGUGAUAUGAACCGUUAUAACCGGCGAUUUCCGAAUGGGGAAACCCAGUGUGUUUCGACACACUAUCAUUAACUGAAUCCAUAGGUUAAUGAGGCGAACCGGGGGAACUGAAACAUCUAAGUACCCCGAGGAAAAGAAAUCAACCGAGAUUCCCCCAGUAGCGGCGAGCGAACGGGGAGGAGCCCAGAGCCUGAAUCAGUGUGUGUGUUAGUGGAAGCGUCUGGAAAGGCGCGCGAUACAGGGUGACAGCCCCGUACACAAAAAUGCACAUGCUGUGAGCUCGAUGAGUAGGGCGGGACACGUGGUAUCCUGUCUGAAUAUGGGGGGACCAUCCUCCAAGGCUAAAUACUCCUGACUGACCGAUAGUGAACCAGUACCGUGAGGGAAAGGCGAAAAGAACCCCGGCGAGGGGAGUGAAAAAGAACCUGAAACCGUGUACGUACAAGCAGUGGGAGCACGCUUAGGCGUGUGACUGCGUACCUUUUGUAUAAUGGGUCAGCGACUUAUAUUCUGUAGCAAGGUUAACCGAAUAGGGGAGCCGAAGGGAAACCGAGUCUUAACUGGGCGUUAAGUUGCAGGGUAUAGACCCGAAACCCGGUGAUCUAGCCAUGGGCAGGUUGAAGGUUGGGUAACACUAACUGGAGGACCGAACCGACUAAUGUUGAAAAAUUAGCGGAUGACUUGUGGCUGGGGGUGAAAGGCCAAUCAAACCGGGAGAUAGCUGGUUCUCCCCGAAAGCUAUUUAGGUAGCGCCUCGUGAAUUCAUCUCCGGGGGUAGAGCACUGUUUCGGCAAGGGGGUCAUCCCGACUUACCAACCCGAUGCAAACUGCGAAUACCGGAGAAUGUUAUCACGGGAGACACACGGCGGGUGCUAACGUCCGUCGUGAAGAGGGAAACAACCCAGACCGCCAGCUAAGGUCCCAAAGUCAUGGUUAAGUGGGAAACGAUGUGGGAAGGCCCAGACAGCCAGGAUGUUGGCUUAGAAGCAGCCAUCAUUUAAAGAAAGCGUAAUAGCUCACUGGUCGAGUCGGCCUGCGCGGAAGAUGUAACGGGGCUAAACCAUGCACCGAAGCUGCGGCAGCGACGCUUAUGCGUUGUUGGGUAGGGGAGCGUUCUGUAAGCCUGUGAAGGUGUGCUGUGAGGCAUGCUGGAGGUAUCAGAAGUGCGAAUGCUGACAUAAGUAACGAUAAAGCGGGUGAAAAGCCCGCUCGCCGGAAGACCAAGGGUUCCUGUCCAACGUUAAUCGGGGCAGGGUGAGUCGACCCCUAAGGCGAGGCCGAAAGGCGUAGUCGAUGGGAAACAGGUUAAUAUUCCUGUACUUGGUGUUACUGCGAAGGGGGGACGGAGAAGGCUAUGUUGGCCGGGCGACGGUUGUCCCGGUUUAAGCGUGUAGGCUGGUUUUCCAGGCAAAUCCGGAAAAUCAAGGCUGAGGCGUGAUGACGAGGCACUACGGUGCUGAAGCAACAAAUGCCCUGCUUCCAGGAAAAGCCUCUAAGCAUCAGGUAACAUCAAAUCGUACCCCAAACCGACACAGGUGGUCAGGUAGAGAAUACCAAGGCGCUUGAGAGAACUCGGGUGAAGGAACUAGGCAAAAUGGUGCCGUAACUUCGGGAGAAGGCACGCUGAUAUGUAGGUGAAGUCCCUCGCGGAUGGAGCUGAAAUCAGUCGAAGAUACCAGCUGGCUGCAACUGUUUAUUAAAAACACAGCACUGUGCAAACACGAAAGUGGACGUAUACGGUGUGACGCCUGCCCGGUGCCGGAAGGUUAAUUGAUGGGGUCAGCGCAAGCGAAGCUCUUGAUCGAAGCCCCGGUAAACGGCGGCCGUAACUAUAACGGUCCUAAGGUAGCGAAAUUCCUUGUCGGGUAAGUUCCGACCUGCACGAAUGGCGUAAUGAUGGCCAGGCUGUCUCCACCCGAGACUCAGUGAAAUUGAACUCGCUGUGAAGAUGCAGUGUACCCGCGGCAAGACGGAAAGACCCCGUGAACCUUUACUAUAGCUUGACACUGAACAUUGAGCCUUGAUGUGUAGGAUAGGUGGGAGGCUUAGAAGUGUGGACGCCAGUCUGCAUGGAGCCGACCUUGAAAUACCACCCUUUAAUGUUUGAUGUUCUAACGUUGACCCGUAAUCCGGGUUGCGGACAGUGUCUGGUGGGUAGUUUGACUGGGGCGGUCUCCUCCUAAAGAGUAACGGAGGAGCACGAAGGUUGGCUAAUCCUGGUCGGACAUCAGGAGGUUAGUGCAAUGGCAUAAGCCAGCUUGACUGCGAGCGUGACGGCGCGAGCAGGUGCGAAAGCAGGUCAUAGUGAUCCGGUGGUUCUGAAUGGAAGGGCCAUCGCUCAACGGAUAAAAGGUACUCCGGGGAUAACAGGCUGAUACCGCCCAAGAGUUCAUAUCGACGGCGGUGUUUGGCACCUCGAUGUCGGCUCAUCACAUCCUGGGGCUGAAGUAGGUCCCAAGGGUAUGGCUGUUCGCCAUUUAAAGUGGUACGCGAGCUGGGUUUAGAACGUCGUGAGACAGUUCGGUCCCUAUCUGCCGUGGGCGCUGGAGAACUGAGGGGGGCUGCUCCUAGUACGAGAGGACCGGAGUGGACGCAUCACUGGUGUUCGGGUUGUCAUGCCAAUGGCACUGCCCGGUAGCUAAAUGCGGAAGAGAUAAGUGCUGAAAGCAUCUAAGCACGAAACUUGCCCCGAGAUGAGUUCUCCCUGAC
rnacentral:rRNA from 1 species